UCCACUGGGAACAGCGCCUGUGAACCCGCUCAGAGUCCAUCACUGACUGACUGUCUAACGUACAAAGAGGAUUACGCGGCUGUCACGGAGGAAGCUGCACCAGGUGAAACGAGCGCUUGAGCCGUCACAUUCCAUCUAAAUCAGUGACUCACCCGUUGAGGAUGGCUCCGCGCAAAACAGAAGCGGUUGUGACCUCGUGGGAAGUGACCAGGGCCUUCUUGUAUCCCAGCGAAUGCAGCGCUGCCUACAGCCUGGGCCAAGAGAAUGACCACAGGCCCCCAGGUGAUGGUGAGCCUCACACAGUCAACUUGCAGACAGCAGCACCGGACACACAGUCAGGGCAGUGGACCGCGUGAGGAAGCUCUGUCAGCCUCAGCCUGGUCUGCCCACCUGGGCAAUGGGCAUAUUUGCUUCCCUGGCAAACACGUGCAACCUUGACAAAGCACUGAGGAGGAGAGAUGGAACUGCGCACGCCCUCCGCACUCGGGUUGAGUUCCUCGGAUACCAUCCUCUUGUUUGACAACAGGCUUUUAAUGAAAUAAAGUAUACA